rnacentral:lncRNA from 1 species
UUUAUGUCAUCAAUUAUCAUUAUGUGCUGAUGUGUUCUUUGUAGAGGUGUGUAUAAUGGCACUCAUCUCGAUUUUUUAACUAUUCAUUUUAAUUUCAAAGUUCAUGUGUGUGGUGCCAUUUUUCUUUAUUCAGGAGUGUGUUGAUUCUUUAAUGAUAGUAAUAUGCAUGAUUUUAUGUUUGAUUCAUGAAAUAUUGUUACUUUUUAGAAAAAUGUAUAUUUUGAUUAUGUAUUAACCAUUAAGUGUUAUUUCUAUUAUUUUAUUGUUAUUUUUCUCAUUUCCAAUCCUAUAGACUUCUCUACUUAUUUUGAAUAUGUUUAAAUAAUGUGUAAUUUAUACUAAACUAUUAUCUCUUUGUUAAACUUUUCAUUAAACUCAAUUUAUAUUCUGUAGCAUCAUUAAGUUUUAAUUAAUCGUUUUAUAUCUUUUUUAAACUAUCUUUUUAAAUCUAUUUUGGUUAUGUAUUAAUUAUUAGCAGAAUCAUUUGUUUGAUUGUGUUGAGACUGAAUUAUU